AUGUUGAAGAAAUACGCAAGUCUAAUUCAAUUAUGUCUAUUCAAUCGAAAGGAUUGUCUAUUUUUGUCAUUCUCUCUCGUUUCUAAAUUCUGCAUUGCUUCAGAGAUUAUGCAGCAGCUUUGUUGUUUUCCCUUGUAUUUUGGCUUUUUUAAAAAAGACUUUAGUAGCCCUUUCUUCUUAGGAUUCUGUUUCUCAAUUAUCACUCUUUCAUUUUAUUGUAACUAUCAUGUUGACAAAUUGUUUAAUCUUAUUAUAAAAAAAAAUGAUUUUAGAACUUCUUAG